CCCAACCUGAAAACCCGGUUAUAUACCCUAAAAGCAAGGGUUUCCUAAUUCAACCUUCAUUUUCUUCUGCCCUUAACACCUGACUUCUGAUGUUGCCGCUGCUAUUCAAUCACUAACUUUUGCUUCUUUUCCUCUGGAUCAUUAAUGGUUUUGCUUUGGGAGAUCCGAUUUCUUGUGAAUCAACUUUCAAUACUAUGCUUUCUGGUGGUUGGAUAUGCUUAUUUUUUUUUGCUGAAAGUCCCAUCUUGGAUGGGUAUUAACUCUACUCGGUGGGUUCCUGAUUGGGUGUAUGGAAAGAUAGUACUACCACCCUAUAAUUGAGAUUUACCCUCCAGUUUAUUGUUCCUGAUGGUACCCCAGACUUUCCUAUUUUUCUGAGUCCUUUUUGAUCUCUGAAAUAGAUAGGCUAGCAUUUCACUUGUUUAGGAUCUUUAUGUACUGUAAAUAUUUGUUAAGUGAAAACAUUAUGCUGUAGCCUUAGCCUACCCUACCCCUUAUCCUCUUAUAGGAGAUACUCUCAAGUAUGGGGUAUUUAAUUUUUCACUGUACAUGAUGCUUCUCCCUGCUGUGUCCAUGCUGCUGAUAUGAAUGAAACUACAGUCUCCUUUUAUCUAUUGCUAGAUUUGGCACAUAGUCUGCUAAUUUAUUGCUCUCUCUUAGGAUGUGUUGAACCUUUAUCUAUUUUUCUACAAAGUUAUUCCUUAUCUCAUGUAUGAUAUUUGUGAUGCUCCAUGGACAUGCCCACCCCCUUCUAGAACUUUUCUAAUCAACAUGGAAUCUGUCUGAAAGAUAGCCUUGUUAUACUGUGUACAUUUGCAAUGAUUACUUGCUGCUAACGUAGCUUUUGCCUCUGCUACUGUAUUUGUUGUGUCUUCUAUAUUAAUGCCUUGAGCAUACAUCAAGUUUCCUUUUUCAUCUCUAAGGAAAAAAUCAAAAGAGAUCACCUCUAGCUGCCCUUUCAGUAUUGUAUUUGACUCAUCCUACAGGUGGAAAGUCCCAAUUAACUUUGAGCAUUUUUACCUGUGGCUCAAAUUCUUUUGCUUCUUCAGAAUUCCUGGCCAAUGUCCUUGAAACUCUUUAUUAGGUCUUUUUAUUCUGAGAAGCAUAUGUAAGUUUCUAACCACAUUAUGGAUAACCCUUUGAGCUGACAACUUCUUCCCCUCAUGCUUACUGGGAUUUGUGAACUUCCAUAGUUCCCAUACUAUAAUGCUAUGAAUAGACUUAUAGUAUGAUUUUAAACAUUUUCUUACUCCAGCGAUAUUUGAUCUUAAAAGAGCAAAAGUAGGAUCAAGUCCUUUUAGCAAUAUUUGAUCUUAAGAAUAUAUGCGAUUGUGUCUCUUGAUUAGGAUUUGGACAACACCAAUAUCUAGAUGGACCUUUCACACCCUACCUUCUAAUUCUGUCAUCUAUUGGCACUUUGAAUUUCCACAAGCUCCACAUAAGCAAAAAAAAAUUUCAAUGGUAAUCCUUUGACCCACAUCUAUUUAUAUAUCUUAUUGGAACUGUAUUUGUUCCUUAUGUACUACCAUACAAUCCUCACAGUGAAAUUCCCAUCAGUGCUUAGCAUCCAAUAAGGUUUAUCCUCAACUGCAUCAGGGUAUGAUGGUUGCACAUUUUUCACAAUAUGUGCUACCACUUCAUUAUUGAACAAUUGACCCAAAAUUUCCACAUCCCAACUUUCAUUUUUGGUUAAAUGUAUUAUGGAUUCAUAUGUAUCAUCCCAUUCUCCUUUCUUUCCUGUGUAAUUGUGGAGAUGUCCCAAAAUAGUCUAAUUAUCAUGCCAUAUAUUAGAAUUUCCUUUUUUGGUAUUCCACUAUAUUUGAUGCUGGAUCAAAUCUGUAGCUUGUAUCAUUCUUUUCCAAACCUGAGACCCUCCCCUUUCUUUCUCCCAUAUUACCAUGUUACAAUGCUCUUUUUUGUAGUACUUGUUAUUUAUGUAAUCACUCCAUAUUGACUUUUUGGUCCUGAAAUUCCACUAAAUUUUACAAAACAAUGCUAUAGAUACAUCUUGUAGUAAUCGAAAUCCCAACCCUCUUUUAUUCUCUGAUAAGCAUAAACUCCUCCAUUUUGUUCAAUGCCUACUUUUUCCACCAAUACAACUACUCUAGAAGAAUUAUGCCAUCAUUUGAUGAAUUUAAUUUAGUACACUCUGAGGAGGAUUCAUAACUGAUAAGCAAUGAAUAGGAAUACUUUGAAGAACAUACUUAAUUAGUAUUGCUUUUCCUUUACAGGACAACAACUUUUCUUUCCAAGCUUGCAGCUUUGAAUUUAUCCUUAGAAUCAUCUGAUUAUAAAAAAUCUUCUGUUUCUCCUGUAGAAAAUAGGACAACCUAAAUAUGUGAAAGGAAAAUCCUUCCUUAAUAUACCUAUUGCCACCUCUGCCAGAACUACAUCACCCCCGACGCAUUGUGAUGCAUGUAUAUAACACUUUUCUCUUUAUUAAUCCUUUGGCCUGAUGCUGCUUCAUACUUCUUCAGUGUCUCAACUAUCAGUUUCAUAGUUGUUGCUUUUGCCUUGCAUAGAAUAAUCAUAUCAUCCGCAAAAGCAAGAUGAUUAAUAGUUGGACUACCUCUUGGCAUACCAAACUUCUUAAAUUCUUUUAUCCUUAGAAGAGGAUUAAGUGUUCUUGAUAACACUUCAGAAGCUAUUAUAAAUAAAGUAAGAGACAAUGGAUCUCCCUGCUUCAAACCUCUAGAAGAGCUGAAGAAUCCUUUAGGCUGACCAUUCAAUAGAAUAGAAUACUAAUUAUUGAUCAGCAACCUGUAGAUCAUAUCAAUUAUUCUUUCACUGAAUCCAAUUUUUCUUAGAACCUGGAUAAGAAAAGUCCAUUCGACUCUAUCAUAAGCCUUCAUCAUGUCUAGUUUAAUAACCAGAUUAGAAGGUUUGCCCCUUUUCCCGAUCUCUGUUAAAAUUUCUUGGACCAGUAGAAUGUUUUCUGCUAUGCUUCUCCUUUCACAAAACCUGCUUACUCCUUGUAAAUAAUCUUUGGAAGAAAGCCUUUCAUUCUUUCAUGUAUAAUCCUUGAGAAAAUUUUAUUGACAAAAUUUCUCAUGGAUAUAUGUCUUAAAUCAGAAAAAUUCUGGACCAACACCAAAUUUGUUUUAGUUUUAAAAUUUUGGUAAGUCUGCUCCACUAAAAAAAUAUUGGACCAUUUUGAAUAUUUAAUCCCCUACAAUCUCCCAGGCAUCCUGAUAGAAGGCCCCUGUCAUCCCAGCUAGUGCACAUGCACUAUUUCUAUUCAACUCCAUCACAUCACUGCUACAUAAACUUCUUCUUUGAUUGGUAUUUUGUGCAUUUCUUCAUUAUCCUCAUCUCCUAUAACUAUAGGAAAAUCUUCUAAUAAAUCAAAGUUACUCUAAGUGGGUUGCUUCUGAAAUUGGCUCUUAUAGAAAAGCACUGCUUCAGUUGCUAUUUCUUCUUUCUGUUCUAACCAAUCCCCUUCUGAAUUUUGUAUUCUAGAAACUUUAAGCCUCUUCCUCCUACCAUUAACGAAAAUAUGGAAACAUUUAGUAUUUCUCUUCCCAUCAUCAAACCAUUCCAUACCAGUUUUUUGCUUCUAAAAUUUCUCUUCUCUAUGCAAAUAUUUGAUCAAUUUUGCCUGAGCUUCAUGAAGCUUCUGUUUAUUUAACCUUGAUGGAUCCUUUUCAAAUUGGAGUUUUUGCACCUUUAUCAUCUCAUCCAAAGUUGCAAUCUUCUAAAAAAUAUUACUAAAAGUUGCUUUGCUCCACUGGAAGAUAACCCUUUUGACUUUUUUCAUCUUAAACUGAUAGAGUGCAAAGGGAUUUCCUACAAAAUCAACAUUCCAGUUUUUCUUGAUCACCUUUAUAAAUGAGUCUUCUUUUAACUAGAAAUUCAAGAAUCUAAAAUAUUUGACCACUUCUUCUAUUUCAUUUCUAAAGGUAAUCAACAUUGGUGCAUGGUCUGAACCACUUCUUAUUAGAUGUUCCACUUAGAUGGAAAUUUUGAUUGCAUCAAUUAGUUAGUCAAAACUCUAUCCAACCUCUUGAAAAUACAAUUUUUAUUAGUUCUGCCAUUUUAUAAUAUAAACUUACUACCUUUAAACCCCAUGCCUGACAAAUUACAUAUAUUAAUGUAAUGAUUGAAAUCUCUAACUUCAUCUUCUGUUACAGGAAGGCCCCUAAUUUCUCUUCUUCAUUAGAAAUUACAUUAAAGUCACCUCCCACUAUCCAUGGUUUUUGAUAAUCCAUAGCUACUUCAUACAUCUGUUCCCAUAAUUGUAUUCUUUCUUCUUAGGUACAUUUAGCUUAGACAAUUAUUAUGACAACAUCCACUUCAUAAUUUUCAGCAUAAACUCUCAGGGUAAGAUAUUGUUCCUCAUCUCUCAGUACCUUUACUUCCAUAUAUUUAUCUAAAAAGUCCUAUGUCUUACCAUUCCUAUUUACCAUAACGUGUUUGAACCCUAGACUUCUUCUGUACACUUCCAACUCUUGGCUUUUCUGAAAUGGUUCUGUCAACCCCAAAAAAUAAAAUUUGUAUCUUCUUUGUAAACUAAUAAGUCUUGUGAAUACUUUUUGUGUAUUCACUGAUCUAAUAUUCAAAAUCUGAGCAUUCAUGUUGAUUUAUUACUUUUAGAAGUGGUACUUCUUGUUUGCCUUGAAAUAUCUUGCUCAGCUAAGUAUCUAGCUGUACCUUUCUUCUUCCUUUUUGAAUGACUUUCUUUAGUUUAUCAACAUAUUUAGGAGAGAAAUCUCCUACCCCAGACACCUUUCUUAUGUUGUUAUCCAUGUCAGUCAGGUCUUGAGUUCCCUUAUCUUGAAGAGCCUUGCUAUAAACCUCUGAUUAUAUUGCUAAUGGUAAAACAUCAGCAUUAUCAACCUCUGAUAAAACAAGCACAUUUAUUUCAUCUGCCCUUUUCUCCUAUUGUAUAUGUUGUAUUUCUUUUAUUUUCUUUUCUACGUUGUUUUGUUGUUCCAUCUUUUUUGACUCAUGUGUAGGUUUUGGUUAUUCACAUCUUUUGAAUUUUCCACUAGGUUCUUCUUAUCCUCCCGUGAUGUAGUUGUAUUAGUCUUUACACUUCCCUUAUCUGAACUUUUUUUCUUUGCACUUCCAUUAUCUACAUAUUCCUUAUUUGUAUUAUGUUGGAAUUGGGAUGAUUUGCUAAAAGCUUGAGUUACCCAAUCUUUAGUGCUCUCUUUCAAAAUUAUUCUCCAAUUGCUUUCCUUUCUCUGCAUGGCUAUCUUCCUCUUCAUUUUCCAAUGUAUCAAAGGGAUUAUUAUCUGUGUAUUCAAUUUCUCCUUGAAUAUGACUAUACCAAUCCUUCUUAUAUUUGUUCUUUCUCUUUGUCAUCCAUUCUUGUUUGUGUUUGUUUGUGCCAUUCCUGUUCAAUCUUGCUUUUCUAUUCUUUGUUCAUUUACCUUAUCUUCUGUCCCUUUAACAAUUGUAGUCUCUUUUUGUUUCUCUUCUUGUUUCUUUUAAAAAAAUUCAGGAUAUACAUUCCAGCAGCUCUUCUAAUUAUGUCCUUGUAAACAACAUUUCUACAAUAUUUUGGCAUGUAGUCAUACUGAAUUUGUAUCCACUUUGACUUGAUUUCCCGAGUUAUGUCAUCUUCUUUAUUAAUUUUUACCCUAUUUGGGAAUUUUUCCACCAGGUUAACUUUAAUUUUCAAUUUAGCACAAUUUGGUCUUAUUUUAUUUUUUGUCGCCAAAUCAACUGUAACUGGUUUCCCUACUGCCGAUGCAAUAGAAAAAAUUACAUUUUUGGCAGAAAAAAUUGUUAGAAGAUCUUGUAAUAAGAUCAAUGCAAACACCAAUCGUAGUUUCAACUUUUGGCUCAAACCAUGGAUCCCAUUUAAAAGUUAUCAUCUGCCAAUACAUCUUCUUAGUUUUUACAUAAAAUACUGUGGCUGAUAGAAUAUGAAUAUAAUAUUCUAAUGUUUAUAAUCUCUACAAAAUACGUCUUGUAUCCAAUACUCUUAUAGUACAUGCACUCUUAAUGCCACAUUGACUAGGAAUAAUCCUCCUUAACUCACCAAUAUUAGGCUUACCAUAUGAAAACUUUCCUACUAUUGCAUAUUGAUGAUUUUUGUGUAUAAUCAGUGCACCUAUCUUAGAUUUUUCCCAUGUAAUCGUAGGUUCCCUUUUAUCAUAAUCACCAUCUUAAGAGGAACAGAAGGUGUAUAUUGAACUUUAGUUUUAAGGAAUUGAACAUACUGGAUUGUGGGUGAGGGACUUCUCACCAUCUUAAGAGGAACAGAAGGUGUAUAUUGAACUUUAGUUUUAAGGAAUUGAACAUACUGGAUUGUGGGUGAGGGAUUUACUGGAGGUUGAUUAAUGUCAGGUUUUAUUGCUAACAGAGUAUAUUCCUCCGCUGGGAUAGGAGAGGUGCCAGCUACACUGUCCGGCGAAAAUAUUAGGGAUAGAGGUUUUUAGGGAUAGGGUUUUUCAGAGAGCAUUUUUCCACUUCUCACUAUGCCUGAACAAGAGUUGCUUACUAUUGUAUUUGUGUUUGAGAAAUUUUGGUCUUACUUAUUAUUAUCUUUAAUUAAUUUUGAGAUUAUCAUUGAUAUUUGCACUGUCUUUUUAUAAACAAAUGUUAUUUUAGUUUUGUUAAAUUCUUAUUUUGGUUCUCAAUUGAGAUCACAUUCAUAUCUGGUAUUAAAUUUAUUUUAAUCAUAACCCGUUAUUUCAUAAAAGACGAAGAAGAUAUUUUUUGCACAGGUAAGUUAAAUAUUCAUAGUUUUGAUCCUUGGAUAGGAUCAAAUAGUCAUGAUUUUGAAUAACUCAUGAUUUUGGAUAACCUAUGAUUUGUGGUAUUAAACACAGAAUUUUGCUCUUAAGUGAUUUUAUUAUGUCUAUAAAACUAAUCCACUCCCUUCAUAAUUAGUGGAAGUGGAAAAUUUUAAAUUAGGCAAAAACCUACAAAUUCUCUUCUCCCUUUACAUUUUUUGGCUUAGUAGCCGCCUCCCUCGCGUUUCACUUUUUCAGUGAGCAACUCCACCACAAUGGAAAUAUUCCACCUCAUACGACACCACCACAAAUAAUAAUCACCGCCAUAACCUCAACCUCUAACUCACCAAAUAGUCUACUCUCUCCGCCGUUUAUACUGGCAUGUUGCCGGUGAAGCCAUCUCCGGUGAACACCACCCUCCACCCGUUCUCCUCUUUCUCCUCUAACCCAUCUCUAUCGUGAAAGCUAUUUUUGGCGAUACCCACUACCCCAAACUACUUAAGAAACAAAAAAUUCAAAAAUAAUUCGUUCAAACUCCAGCGAAACAAUGCCAUUAACGGCGAGCUCAGAGUUCACAAAACAAGCAACAACCAACCCAACAAUAAUAACCACGAUGAGCCUCGUGUUGUCUUCUUUGAUAAAAAUGUGAUGACCCAUAAUAAGACACCAGCGAGCUCUAAACUCUGAUCUACGGCGAACUCUAAUGGAAACAAAAAAGCCCCCAAAAGUUUCCGACUCUGGCGGAACAUAACACAUGACGAACAAUCCGCUUUUCACUUUGUUUUUUUCAUAUCUGAUUGAGAAAAAUCUAAAGCUCAGUCUUUUGCAGGAAUCAGUGUUGGUUUCAUGGUUGUUGCAGAUAACUAUCCUUCAAUAGCGUCUGCUCCUCUCAUUUAUGGUGGAGAUUGUUUCCAGUCUUAUCGUUCUUGAUUUAGAAGCUCUUACACUUGUUUGGGGCUAGAUCCUUGGGUAGUUUACUUUUUUCAUAGAUUUUAUUUUAGGCUUGUAAAAAUCAAUUGUAAUAAGGAUUUGAUAUUUUGUUACUUAUCUUAUGACUUCUUUAUAUCAUGUUGAAAGGGGUGGCAAGAGGUUUUCUUGUCUAGGUGGAUUAGAAUAGGUGCCCUUAUGAUUCGAUAAAUUGGGUCGUGAUAGUCUGGGAUUUAGUACAUGGACAGAAAAUAUCCCAUGUAGGUCAUGACCCUUGGCAUGUAUGUACAAGGUAAAGGUUAAUUUGAGGAUUCCAUGAGUGAAUUGGAAAAGUAUUUAUAUUGUUGUUUUA